rnacentral:rRNA from 1 species
GACGAACGCUGGCGGCGUGCCUAAUACAUGCAAGUCGAGCGAGCUUGCCUAGAUGAUUUUAGUGCUUGCACUAAAUGAAACUAGAUACAAGCGAGCGGCGGACGGGUGAGUAACACGUGGGUAACCUGCCCAAGAGACUGGGAUAACACCUGGAAACAGAUGCUAAUACCGGAUAACAACACUAGACGCAUGUCUAGAGUUUGAAAGAUGGUUCUGCUAUCACUCUUGGAUGGACCUGCGGUGCAUUAGCUAGUUGGUAAGGUAACGGCUUACCAAGGCAAUGAUGCAUAGCCGAGUUGAGAGACUGAUCGGCCACAUUGGGACUGAGACACGGCCCAAACUCCUACGGGAGGCAGCAGUAGGGAAUCUUCCACAAUGGACGAAAGUCUGAUGGAGCAGCGCCGCGUGAGUGAAGAAGGGUUUCGGCUCGUAAAGCUCUGUUGGUAGUGAAGAAAGAUAGAGGUAGUAACUGGCCUUUAUUUGACGGUAAUUACUUAGAAAGUCACGGCUAACUAC